CCAACGAAUCGAAUCUGUCCGCACACGCUAAGAGCCUGGUUCUAUCAACCGCCGCGCCAAAGUAAUCCCUAUUAAUCGGUGGGCAAACUGUUAACGACUUAUUCGCGUGGAAAUUUAACGUGUACAAGCAUCAGUUGUCGUUUGGAAAUUGCUGGAACAUUGACAAAUCACACUUCAGUCAUUACCGAACACUCUGUACCUUAUUAGCGAUUCGAGAAUCCUUGCGCUUUCAACAUUGUCUGUUCCACUCGAGCCACCUACGCGACUUUCGUACGAAAUCUUUAUUGUCAUGGGACUUCGAUUAUCCUGAGGGAAGUACAUAAGGCGGAAAGUACAUAAGGAAAGUACAUAAAGUGUAUAUAAAAUGUUGCUAUAAUACAGUAGUUCGUUUUGUUACAGUGCUAAAUUUGAUCUGCUCUAAUUUGGACAUGAAGCAGCGUGCACGUGGAUCGGCUUAAAUUCAUCUAUUAUUGAUUACUGAACGGCAGCAUGAACAGUCCAGAAAUCUGCGAUCCUUUCAAACUACGAGGAGUAUCACGUCCGUUUUCAAGCACGAGUAUCUGUUUACACGAGAAUCUCGCCGGGCUUUAUAUGCUCGUAAUAACUGCAUAAACGGAAUCAUUUGCAACACGAGUCAGUGUUGCGAUACAUUAAAUUCUGAUUGCACAUAUUGCCGACAGAAUAUAUUUAGAACUAUUUAAGUAUCGUCAUGCAAACAUCUCGCAGCACCAUGGUUAAUUUGUGUACUCUUAUUACUUGGUGUUAACUAAAGAGCUUUAGCCCGUAAAUAAAUCUAUGAUAAUAAAGUAAAGUAAGUUGUA